rnacentral:rRNA from 1 species
CUACGGGUUGCUCCAGUGGGGAAUAUUGCACAAUGGGGGGAACCCUGAUGCAGCAACGCCGCGUGGAGGAUGACGCAUUUCGGUAUGUAAACUCCUUUUAUAUGUCAAGAAAAUGACGGUAGCAUAUGAAUAAGCACCGGCUAACUCCGUGCCAGCAGCCGCGGUAAUACGGAGGGUGCAAGCGUUACUCGGAAUCACUGGGCGUAAAGGACGCGUAGGCGGGUUGGAAAGUCAGGUGUGAAAUCCUACAGCUUAACUGUAGAACUGCACUUGAAACUUCUAAUCUAGAGUAUGGGAGGGGGAGAUGGAAUUAGUGGUGUAGGGGUAAAAUCCGUAGAUAUCACUAGGAAUACCUAAAGCGAAGGCGAUCCCCUGGAACAUUACUGACGCUAAGGCGUGAAAGCGUGGGGAGCAAACAGGAUUAGAUACCCGCGUAGUC